rnacentral:rRNA from 1 species
UACGCAGGGGGCUAGCGUUGUUCGGAAUUACAGGGCGUAAAGCGCACGUUGGCGGGUGGUUAAGUCAGGGGUGAAAUCCCGGAGCUCAACUCCGGAACUGCCUUUGAUACUGGCCAUCUAGAGAUCGGAAGAGGUGAGUGGAAUUCCCAGUGUAGAGGUGAAAUUCGUAGAUAUUGGGAAGAACACCAGUGGCGAAGGCGGCUCACUGGUCCGAUACUGACGCUGAGGUGCGAAAGCGUGGGGAGCAAACAGG